rnacentral:rRNA from 1 species
AUGCACUUUGGACCUCAAAUCAUGUCCGGAUCCAACCUUCAUGGUCGGUGGAUGCCCUCCUCUGUCACAGAGGAGGACAUCAAGAAGCUAAGAAAAGCCAGGUAUCUGACCGCCGAAAUCUCACACAGGCUACCUGCUCGAGGGCAGGUCAUUCCCACUCCCGAACUCGGCGAGAGCGUCGUAUUCGUCUCCCACUUCCUCCGAGGGCUAGGCCUUAGUCUAGAUCCCUUUGUUAGGGGGCUCAUGUUUUAUUACGGGCUGGAUUUCCAUGACCUGGCCCCGGAUUCCAUCCUUCACAUCUCGUCGUUCAUCGUCGUGUGUGAGGCCUUCCUCCACGUCACCCCACACUUCGGCUUAUGGCUCAAGACUUUUAAUGUGGAGCCGAAGAUGAUUAAUGGGCGACACGCAGAAUGCGGAGGUGCCAUAAUGAGCAAAAGCGCCGAUGUUCCAUGGCCAAAGGGUUCCUUCCCGGAGGUGUCCGGCUUAUGGCAACGGGAGUGGUUUUACAUCACAGCUCCCCGCGGUACUAAGUGGGUAGCCGCCCCUGCCUUCCGCUCGGGUUCCCCGCCAUAA